UGGGGAAUAUUGGACAAUGGGGGCAACCCUGAUCCAGCAAUGCCGCGUGUGUGAAGAAGGUCUUCGGAUUGUAAAGCACUUUCGACGGGGACGAUGAUGACGGUACCCGUAGAAGAAGCCCCGGCUAACUUCGUGCCAGCAGCCGCGGUAAUACGAAGGGGGCUAGCGUUGCUCGGAAUGACUGGGCGUAAAGGGCGUGUAGGCGGUUUACACAGUCAGAUGUGAAAUCCCCGGGCUUAACCUGGGAGCUGCAUUUGAUACGUGUAGACUAGAGUGUGAGAGAGGGUUGUGGAAUUCCCAGUGUAGAGGUGAAAUUCGUAGAUAUUGGGAAGAACACCGGUGGCGAAGGCGGCAACCUGGCUCAUGACUGACGCUGAGGCGCGAAAGCGUGGGGAGCAAACAGGUUAGAUACCCUGGUAGUCCACGCCUGUAAACGAUGUGUGCUAGAUGUUGGGUAA
rnacentral:rRNA from 1 species